CGCACAUUGCGCCCUCUGGUAUUCCGGAGGGCAUGCCUGUUCGAGCGUCAUUUCAACCCUCAAGCCUGGCUUGGUGAUGGGGCGCUGCUCUGUAAAGAGCAGGCCCUCAAAUCUAGUGGCGGGCUCGCCAGGACCCCGAGCGCAGUAGUUAAACCCUCGCUCUGGAAGGCCCUGGCGGUGCCCUGCCGUUAAACCCCCAACUUCUGAAAAUUUGACCUCGGAUCAGGUAGGAAUACCCGCUGAACUUAA
rnacentral:misc_RNA from 1 species